ACAAGCGGUGGAGCAUGUGGUUUAAUUCGAAGCAACGCGAAGAACCUUACCAAAUCUUGACAUCCUUUGACAACUCUAGAGAUAGAGCUUUCCCCUUCGGGGGACAAAGUGACAGGUGGUGCAUGGUUGUCGUCAGCUCGUGUCGUGAGAUGUUGGGUUAAGUCCCGCAACGAGCGCAACCCUUAAGCUUAGUUGCCAUCAUUAAGU
rnacentral:rRNA from 1 species